UAGAUGGCGCUGAUGAGCGCCACUGAACCAUAUGCGCUGCACCCCGAAGUUAGCGACAGAAGAAGAGAUACCAUUGCCGCGAAAGACAACAGGAGAAGAAACGGUCACUACCUCAAGAAGUCUGAUAAGAAGCUGAGCUGAGACUAGAUGAAAAUCAGGCCAGGUUCAAGAGACUUGUGCAGACAUUCACUGACCCCAUGACAGAAGUGUACCUGCUGUUCUUCCAAGCCACCGUACCAACUUUCGCUUCUUUCAACUUGCUGCUUCAGAGAGAGCAGUCAUCAAUAUUUUUGUUACAUGAUGAGAUGGUGAAAUUCGUACGCAAGCUAUGUUCCAAGUUUAUGGUUCCAGCAGCUCUGCAGUGCCAUGAGGAGCCUUGUGAAAUUGCCUUUGAAGAAAAGGCAAACCAUUUACCAGAUUACUCGACGAGGGUGACA